rnacentral:lncRNA from 1 species
GAAUGAGAAGGUUAGAUACCUUAUACAUUUCUCCAAAAUGCCUACCAGCUAACCAAGCAUAACACUAGAUCCAUUGGGCAUAAUAAUAAGCAUAACAUGAUUCAUAUGCAUGAACACUUGUCUAUUAUGGAUACGUAAAUUCUGAACUAAGGUGGAUAUAGGAAUACAGAACUGGCAUGAAUAAUCGAAUGCUGAACUGACGUGAAUAUUUGAUCAUUGAACUCACAUCAAUAUUUGAGUAUUAAGCUGGUAUGAAUAUUUGAGUACUAGACUGACAUGAGAUUUGAAUACUUGAAUGUUAUAAUGUGACACAUGAAAUACUGGUGUACAACAAUUAAUUAUGGUUGAAAUUCUAACUCAUAUGCUACCUACCCGAUCUUUUAUAGGAUAUUAU